GUUUUGCUCCCCCACGCUUUCGUGCAUGAGCGUCAGUGUUAUCCCAGGAGGCUGCCUUCGCCAUCGGUGUUCCUCCGCAUAUCUACGCAUUUCACUGCUACACGCGGAAUUCCACCUCCCUCUGACACACUCUAGCCCGGUAGUUAAAAAUGCAGUUCCAAAGUUAAGCUCUGGGAUUUCACAUCUUUCUUUCCGAACCGCCUGCGCACGCUUUACGCCCAGUAAUUCCGAUUAACGCUUGCACCCUACGUAUUACCGCGGCUGCUGGCACGUAGUUAGCCGGUGCUUAUUCUGCAGGUACCGUCAGUUUCGCGGGGUAUUAACCCGCGACGUUUCUUUCCUGCCAAAAGUGCUUUACAACCCGAAGGCCUUCAUCGCACACGCGGGAUGGCUGGAUCAGGGUUUCCCCCAUUGUCCAAAAUUCCCCACUGCUGCCUCCCGUAGGAGUCUGGGCCGUGUCUCAGUCCCAGUGUGGCUGGUCGUCCUCUCAAACCAGCUACGGAUCGUCGCCUUGGUGAGCCGUUACCCCACCAACUAGCUAAUCCGAUAUCGGCCGCUCCAAUAGUGCAAGGUCUUGCGAUCCCCUGCUUUCCCCCGUAGGGCGUAUGCGGUAUUAGCUACGCUUUCGCGUAGUUAUCCCCCGCUACUGGGCACGUUCCGAUACAUUACUCACCCGUUCGCCACUCGCCACCAGACCGAAGUCCGUGCUGCCGUUCGACUUGCAUGUGUAAGGCAUCCCGCUAGCGUUCAAUCUGAGCCAGGAUCAAACUCUG
rnacentral:rRNA from 1 species